ACAUAUAUAUAUAUAUAUAUAUAUAUAUAUAUAUAUAUAUAUAUAUAUAUAUAUAUCACCUCGUUCCGUUACUGGUGUGAUGAAUUUCUCAUAUUUUCAGCAAUAAUUAAUCUUUCUCUCCUGAAGUAUUCGCUCUGAGCAGAGUUGAUUUACGUACGUCAGUAUUAUUAAGAUCUUAAGUAUUAGGGCAGUGAAGGACUUUAGUGAUAUUUAUUUGUCGUCUUUUUGCAUGUAUUAAACCUUUAAAAAUCACAUGUACAUUAUUUCCGAACACAAUCCCUAUGAGAUAUAAUGAAUUUUUGCCUCAUUCCGGGCUGCAGUGCACUUUCUUUAGCAGUUAUUUAGAUUAUUGUUGUUAUGCAGUUGAAAAUGAAACGUAUUGAUUUGAUGAUUUUUAACGAGGAUUUUUAAAAAAGCACUCGCCGCGAACGCAGAAUUAACAACGUAACUUCGGGUCACGUUUAAAAUGUCCGUGCCUCCGGUCAGCGAGUGAACACACCAGACCCGCAGAUCGAUAACUUCAUUAGUUAACUUUUUUUUGAACGAUGGAGCCGAGGCCAUGUUGAAGUGAGCAGUAAGUGACAUGCAGUGCAAACCUCACCUGGGCCUUUGUUUCAGCACUUAUCAAAGGAUUUAUUACGUUUUAUUCCAAAGGUUUUACAUUACAUAGUCAAAGUACAGUGUUUUAUUAAAACUACGGUCAGAGUUCGGUUUAAAUUCAGCAGCCAGACAAGCUACGGAUACGGAGCCACUUGUUUCUGCGCCACUCGCUGAUGCUUUCAAUCCCCAAAACAUAUCCUUCGCGUGAAAGUGGCCGACGGUGUUUGACUCCGCUCAUGUUCCUCCCAGAGUCGACCACGCGGUCCGCCGCGCGGGUUUGUGUUGCGAGGCGCGACAGGCGGACGCCGGGGAGGCAGACGGGCGAGGGGGAGACUCGGGCCGGCGCUGGCAAACAGACGGCCGAGCGGACCGCAGGGAGGCCGGAGGGCAGGAGGCCGGCGGGCAGGAGGCCGGCGGCGUGAGGCGUGAGGCGUGGGGCGUGAGGCGUGAGGCGUGAGGCGUGAGGCGUGAGGCGUGAGGCGGCCGGCCGCAACCGGAGCAGACGGCUGGAAUGUUAAACGGUCACCCCGGCGCACACGACGCGUCAACCUCGCUUACAGCAGCUCCGAGGCGCGACCCUGCGCGCGGUCGACUUCGAACAGACUCUGUGGUGUUUCGAUGAUCUGUCCGGUUGCACUGCGGUUUGGAAAUCAGAGCGUCUGAAAACAGACAGAAUAUUCCGGAAAAAAUCGCCUCGUAACUUUAUUUAAAAUUCUCACUUCGCCAAAACCCUCACCAGGGUGGAUUUAGAUACGACGACUGUGGAGGUUCUCAUUCCUCCAGGUCUGGAGUCGUCCACGAGGGUGUUGAAUCAGGAGCAACUGGACUUGGCUGUUAUUUCUUGAAAGAAGAUGUCAUUCCUCAAGAAGUCCAGUUGCUCCUGAUUCAACGCCCUCAGUUACCGACGCUGCUCUCGUCAAAACCUGCAGUGUACGGGAACAGCGGUGGAAAGAUUUACGACUUGGAACUUUUCAGUAAAAAACACUGGGUCCUUCGUGUUCCGGUCCAGUGUUGUCACUGCCGCUGGUGGACUCAAUUCUCAACACAGGGUUAGUUAAUCUAUGUCUGACUUUUUAAUGGUUCCUGGUGAACAGGGUUGGGGUUGUGGUAGGGAUGGGUUCCCCAUCCUGUGCACAGUGUCGGGGGUUGGGGUAGGGAUAGGUUCCCCAUCCUGUGCACAGGGUUAGGGUUGUGGUAAGGUUAGGUUCCCCAUCCUGUGCUCGGGGUUGGGGUAGGGAUAGGUUCCCCAUCCUGUGCACAGUGUUGGGGUUGGGGUAGGGAUAGGUUCCCCAUCCUGUGCACAGGGUUAGGGUUGGGGUAGGGAUAGGUUAAAGGGUGAAUCCCAUUUCCCCUCACUUGGCCCUACCCCUUGGCUCUACCCCUUGGUCCUACCCCUUGGUCCUACCCCUUGGUCCUACACCUUGGGCCUACCCCUUGGUCCUACACCUUGGGCCUACUCCUUGGUCCUACACCUUGGGCCUACCCCUUGGUCCUACCCCUUGGUCCUACCCCUUGGGCCUACCCCUUGGUCCUACCCCUUGGUCCUACCCCUUGGGCCUACCCCUUGGUCCUACCCCUUGGUCCUACCCCUUGGCUCUACCCCUUGGUCCUACCCCUUGGCUCUACCCCUUGGCUCUACCCCUUGGUCCUACCCCUUGACUCUACCCCUUGGCUCUACCCCUUGGUCCUACCCCUUGGUCCUACCCCUUGGACUUACCCCUGCUUUUUGCACAUUCCCCGCUUAGGUUAGGGUGACAAUGACAAAAAGGUCCAGUUCAGCAGUACGGUUUACGCCACACGCAGGUGUUCAGUGUGUGUGUGUGUGUGUUCCACAUCUGGCUUUUUUUCGUGCCAGACACCGAAUGAAGGAGCAGAAAAAAAUUGCUUUGCUUUUGCUCGGACAUUGUUUUUACUUCCGCAUCAGAAGGCUCCUUGUACAUGUCGACGCUUCAGCGAAAUGUAGAAAUGUCUGUCGAAGGUGAAACCAGAAACAGCCGCGUCCGUCGUGUGUUUAACAUGCAGUUUCUGUGCGUCAACGAAAAUAUCUGUUGGAGGAACACAUCGCGUAAAGAGCUGUGGAAGUGUAGAGCAAAACACACAUCAUCACCACAAACAGGGAAACUCACACACACUCACACACACUCACACACACUCGCAGCCACUGUAGACGCUUCCAGUUGUUAGGAUAUGAAGUUUACAUGUAUUAAAAACAUCUGUGUACAGCUUGAAUAUCGCAAAACUCAAUCUCUCUGUGUGUGAAUAAUGUGCAGGAUUAUUUUUUAAGGAUUAUUAAGAGUUUGGUUUCAGAGGCUGCUCUUUUUGGGGGGGGGUUUCGUUGUUAAACACACUGGUGCAGAUUUUUUAAAAUUGAAUUGCAGAUAUACUUUGUGCGGUGAUGCUUUGUGCUUCACCGCGCACGUUUUUCUUUGGGGUCAGUAUUUUAUUAAAGUUGCUGAGGAGGGGGGCCGAUCGCUCCAUGUGUUGUAUGAACUGUAAACGGAAAUAUGAGGUUUUGAUUUAAUUCAGCAUUUUGAAUGUUAUUUCUGUGCCGUCGUCACGUCUUUAAUUCCUCCUGACUUUGAUCCCAAAGUGUUGUUGACCAGACUUUUCAGACUCUUAACUUAACCGACCAGUGGACAGAAGAUCAAUUUCACAUUUUGAAACACGCCCUGGAAGAUUUUUUCUUUAAUUUAACCAUUUUUUAUCAUAAUGUCAUAUCGUGACAAAUGAAAAGUAGACUUUUUUUCUUUUCCCUCCAGGACCUGGUUCAAAUUCAGUAUUUAAAAAAAAUCUGAUUUUCUUUUUCAUUUUUUUUUUUUAAUGAUAUUCACUUUAUUCAUUUUGACUUGAUCCUGGCACGUUAACAACUACAGUCAUUCACCAGGGGCCAGUUGUCGUUCACAGGGUAUUUUGUGAUUUAAAGAAGAAAAGAUUCCAUGUUUUCCUAAGUUUAAAUUUCAGUUUUGAACUUACAAGAUGAAUGUGGAAAUUGAAAUGACAGUUUGGCAGAUUGUAGACGCGAGGACAUUGCUGUCAUUUAAAAGAAACGGAUACAUGUGUUGUUCACGUUCAUCUGCUUCAUAACAUUUGACAUUUGAGAAGUCGACCUGAAUGUCUGGUUAAGUUUAGUUCCAAACGUGAGGAGAUUUAAAAAAAGAAACGCCGGCCCUGAAAAAUACUUCCCAACAUAAACAAAUAUAAUUUGCAUAUUACUUUCUCUGCAUCAAGUGGGAAUCAAUCUCUCCAUCAGCUGUUGUACUUCAAUCUUUACAAUGUUUUAUCUUAUAGUGGAAGUUCAGAUUAAGAAGAUUCAUUUUGAUUUGAUUAAUUUUCAUUCUGACUUUGACUAUUAUUGCUUUUUUUAUAUAUAUAUAUAUCUCAGCCAAAGCCACAUGUUCCAUUAAACCUCUAAUGUAUUGUUUCUGAUCAUUAAUAUUAAUGUUUGUGCUUCAAAAAAAAUUCGGACACUGAAUGAUUAUUUUUUUUUUAAAUGAUUGAUCGUUCUCAGAAAGUGAAUUCAUAUCUUUCAGUUGUGGUAUAAAUAUAUAUAUAUAUAUAUAUCUAUUGAUUGAUUUUCAUAUCACUGUUCUCUGAUUGUAUAGUGGCAGUAGGAGCUGUAGGGAAAACCCAAACUGGAAACUCAAAUUUGUGACGUCACUUUGGAAAAGCCAGUAUUACAGUAUCAUAGGAGCAAGACAACUGUUCAGUUAGCAGGUGUUCAAUGUGUAACUGUCCUCAAAGACAAAUUUGCCGACAUGCAUUAUGUAAAACGGGCAACAAUAAACAUGGACCCACGUAGAGUCUGUCACUGGUCACAUU